rnacentral:rRNA from 1 species
AUUGAACGCUGGCGGAAUGCUUUACACAUGCAAGUCGAACGGUAGAGGGGGCAACCCCUCGAGAGUGGCGAACGGGUGAGUAAUAUAUCGGAACGUGCCCAGUCGUGGGGGAUAACGUAGCGAAAGUUACGCUAAUACCGCAUACGAUCUAAGGAUGAAAGCGGGGGAUCACAAGACCUCGCGUGAUUGGCGCGGCCGAUACCAGAUGAGGUAGUUGGUGGGGUAAAGGCUCACCAAGCAAACGAUCUGUAGCUGGUCUGAGAGGACGACCAGCCACACUGGAACUGAGACACGGUCCAGACUCCUACGGGAGGCAGCAGUGGGGAAUUUUGGACAAUGGACGCAAGUCUGAUCCAGCCAUUCCGCGUGCAGGAUGAAGGCCCUCGGGUUGUAAACUGCUUUUGUACGGAACGAAAAGGUCUCUCUUAAUACGGGGGACUCAUGACGGUACCGUAAGAAUAAGCACCGGCUAACUACGUGCCAGCAGCCGCGGUAA